rnacentral:rRNA from 1 species
CAGUCGCCGCGGUAAUACGAAGGGUGCAAGCGUUACUCGGAAUUACUGGGCGUAAAGCGUGCGUAGGUGGUGGUUUAAGUCCGUUGUGAAAGCCCUGGGCUCAACCUGGGAAUUGCAGUGGAUACUGGGUCACUAGAGUGUGGUAGAGGAUAGUGGAAUUUCCGGUGUAGCAGUGAAAUGCGUAGAGAUCGGAAGGAACAUCUGUGGCGAAGGCGACUAUCUGGGCCAACACUGACACUGAGGCACGAAAGCGUGGGGAGCAAACAGGAUUAGAUACCCCCGUAGUCCCUGUCUCUUAUCA